AGACCCGAAACCCGGUGAUCUAGCCAUGGGCAGGUUGAAGGUUGGGUAACACUAACUGGAGGACCGAACCGACUAAUGUUGAAAAAUUAGCGGAUGACCUGUGGCUGGGGGUGAAAGGCCAAUCAAACCGGGAGAUAGCUGGUUCUCCCCGAAAGCUAUUUAGGUAGCGCCUCGUGAAUUCAUCUCCGGGGGUAGAGCACUGUUUCGGCUAGGGGGCCAUCCCGGCUUACCAACCCGAUGCAAACUGCGAAUACCGGAGAAUGUUAUCACGGGAGACACACGGCGGGUGCUAACGUCCGUCGUGAAGAGGGAAACAACCCAGACCGCCAGCUAAGGUCCCAAAGUCAUGGUUAAGUGGGAAACGAUGUGGGAAGGCCCAGACAGCCAGGAUGUUGGCUUAGAAGCAGCCAUCAUUUAAAGAAAGCGUAAUAGCUCACUGGUCGAGUCGGCCUGCGCGGAAGAUGUAACGGGGCUAAACCAUGCACCGAAGCUGCGGCAGCGAACGUAUCACCCAAGACAACUUUACGGAGUUGACGAUUGACGGAGCGAAGCGACGUCAAAGCGUUCAUUAAAGUCGAGUUGGCUUAGGGAUACGUUCGUUGGGUAGGGGAGCGUUCUGUAAGCCUGUGAAGGUGUGUCGUGAGGCAUGCUGGAGGUAUCAGAAGUGCGAAUGCUGACAUAAGUAACGAUAAAGCGGGUGAAAAGCCCGCUCGCCGGAAGACCAAGGGUUCCUGUCCAACGUUAAUCGGGGCAGGGUGAGUCGACCCCUAAGGCGAGGCCGAAAGGCGUAGUCGAUGGGAAACGGGUUAAUAUUCCCGUACUUGGUGUUACUGCGAAGGGGGGACGGAGAAGGCUAUGUUGGCCGGGCGACGGUUGUCCCGGUU
rnacentral:rRNA from 3 species